GCCAGACUCCUACGGGAGGCAGCAGUGGGGGAUAUUGCACAAUGGGGGAAACCCUGAUGCAGCGACGCCGCGUGGGCGAAGAAGUAUUUCGGUAUGUAAAGCCCUCUCAGCAGGGAAGAAGAAAUGACGGUACCUGAGUAAGAAGCACCGGCUAAAUACGUGCCAGCAGCCGCGGUAAUACGUAUGGUGCAAGCGUUAUCCGGAUUUACUGGGUGUAAAGGGAGCGCAGGCGGCACGGCAAGCCUGAUGUGAAAUCCGGGGGCUCAACCCCCGAACUGCAUUUGAAACUGUUGGUCUUGAGUAUCGGAGAGGCAGGCGGAAUUCCUAGUGUAGCGGUGAAAUGCGUAGAUAUUGGGAGGAACACCAGUGGCGAAGGCGGCCUGCUGGACGACAACUGACGGUGAGGCGCGAAAGCGUGGGGAGCAAACAGGAUUAGAUACCCUUGUAA
rnacentral:rRNA from 1 species